UUUGGAAUUAUAGGAUUCAAUUUGAUUCAAUGCUUUUAUUGUUCACGUAGGAACUGUUUUAACAUCAUUCACUCUGGCUGAUUCUAUUGAACCAUAGCUAACGGUUUCUUGGUUUCUCUCCACGCCCAAGAGGACGCGGUCUUCGCAUGCCCUCGUCUAGAGUCCAGCCAGAAAAGACGCGUAAACCUGUUUGGAGAAUUGUCCAACUGAAGUCUGUUUAUUUUUAAUCUUUGAUCCCUAAGAAACCGUAAGAAUUAACGGCAGGUUUCCAGGAUACAGUUUGAAUUUGUGCACUCGAAUUAUGAGAAUGAUGCCGAAAAUCCCUUCAAUUUCUCUGUAAUAAAUUUAAAAGUGAAGAGACUAUAUAUCACGAAAAGUUCUAAAUACUGCUUGAUGGCAUAUUAUCGGCAAACAAGACGUAAAAAAUGAUAUAAGAAAAAAAACGAAAAUAAAAAUAAAAAUACAUCAGACGUUUGAAGUGGAAAAAAGGAAGGUUCUUAAUGAAGAGGACGCCACAAUUGUCAUAGAAACCUUGGAUGAAGCCAUUCCCGUCGCCACGCUUAAGAACAAGUGCCCUUUGUGGACUUAACAGCGGUUUGAAAUUUGACCCGCUAUUUGGCGAGGGUGGCACACUUACAAUAAAAUCAUCCAAUAUCAUCUCCAAUUUAUGGAGAAACUAGUUCUACAAUGACACAAUGUAUAAAUUAAUGGAGAACUUUAAUAUUUUUAUAUGAAAUAAUAAAAAAUAACGAGGACAAGUAA